UACGGAGGAUGCAAGCGUUAUCCGGAUUUAUUGGGUUUAAAGGGUCCGCAGGCGGACCGGUAAGUCAGUGGUGAAAUCCCAUCGCUUAACGAUGGAACUGCCAUUGAAACUGCCGGUCUUGAGUUUAGUUGACGUUGGCGGAAUGUGACAUGUAGCGGUGAAAUGCAUAGAUAUGUCACAGAACACCAAUUGCGAAGGCAGCUGACGAAACUACAACUGACGCUCAUGGACGAAAGCGUGGGGAGCAAACAGG
rnacentral:rRNA from 1 species